GGGGAUGGACCUCCAGAUUUCCUUACUGACCUGCAUUAUCUUGUGGAUACCUGAGUGAAUUCCACACCACCCAUUUUAUAGAUGAAACCACUGAGACAUGGAGCAAUUGACUGAGUAGUCACUGCCCCACCCCUGCCUGGAGCCUCACACAUGACUCGCCUCCUCUCAGUGACCACAGGAAAACAAGCUCAGGGCUCCCACUGAUUGUACAUUAUGAGACGGAGUCUUGCUAUGUUGCCCAGGCUGGUCUUGAACUCCUCACCUCAAGCGAUCCUCCCGUCUUGGCCUCCCAAGUGUCAGGAUUACGGGCAUGUGCUAUCACACCCAACCUGAUACAUUGCCUUUAUAAAUUUUUUUUUCUUUAUUCUAAAAACCAGAAAAAACAAAACUGGAUACAUGUGCAGAACAUGCAGGUGAGACGUGGUCUUGUAACACAGUGGUUAAGAAUGUGACUUUGGAGCCAGCCUGCUAGGGGCUGAAUUCUGACUCAGCCAUUUACUAACUGUGUGACCUUAGGUCACAGAAUUUUCCACACUCCUUGACAGAGGUGCUUAACCCUUAUCCAUCAGCAUUCUCAGACAGCACCUCCGGUUAGGGACAGUAUCUGACCGUCCGACAUCCCUGCAGCCCCCA
rnacentral:lncRNA from 1 species